CACGUAGGGCGCAAGCGUUGUCCGGAAUUAUUGGGCGUAAAGAGCUCGUAGGCGGUCUGUUGCGUCCGCUGUGAAAACUCGGGGCUUAACCCCGAGCCUGCAGUGGAUACGGGCAGACUAGAGGUAGGAGGGGAGGUAAGGUGAAAUUCCGGGAUCGUGAGCGGGUGAAAAUGCGCAGAUAUCGGGAAGGAACACCGGUGGCGAAGGCG
rnacentral:rRNA from 1 species